UACGAAGGGGGCUAGCGUUGCUCGGAAUUAUUGGGCGUAAAGCGCACGUAGGCGGCAUUGCAAGUCGGAUGUGAAAUCUUAUGGCUUAACCAUAAAAGUGCAUCCGAAACUGCAGUGCUUGAGUACUUAAGAGGAUCGCGGAAUUCCCGGUGUAGAGGUGAAAUUCGUAGAUAUCGGGAGGAACACCAGUGGCGAAGGCGGCGAUCUGGGAAGAUACUGACGCUGAGGUGCGAAAGCGUGGGGAGCAAACAGG
rnacentral:rRNA from 1 species